CAUGCAAGUCGAACGGAAAGGCCCUUUCGGGGGUACUCGAGUGGCGAACGGGUGAGUAACACGUGGGUGAUCUGCCCUGCACUUUGGGAUAAGCCUGGGAAACUGGGUCUAAUACCGGAUAGGACUACGCGAUGCAUGUCGUGUGGUGGAAAGCUUUUGCGGUGUGGGAUGGGCCCGCGGCCUAUCAGCUUGUUGGUGGGGUGAUGGCCUACCAAGGCGACGACGGGUAGCCGGCCUGAGAGGGUGACCGGCCACACUGGGACUGAGAUACGGCCCAGACUCCUACGGGAGGCAGCAGUGGGGAAUAUUGCACAAUGGGCGCAAGCCUGAUGCAGCGACGCCGCGUGAGGGAUGACGGCCUUCGGGUUGUAAACCUCUUUCAGCAGGGACGAAGCGCAAGUGACGGUACCUGUAGAAGAAGGACCGGCCAACUACGUGCCAGCAGCCGCGGUAAUACGUAGGGUCCGAGCGUUGUCCGGAAUUACUGGGCGUAAAGAGCUCGUAGGUGGUUUGUCGCGUUGUUCGUGAAAACUCACA
rnacentral:rRNA from 1 species